GACAGAGGGGGCAAGCGUUGCUCGGAAUUACUGGGCGUAAAGGGCGCGUAGGCGGGAUGGUAAGUCGGUCGUGAAAUCCCCCGGCUCAACCGAGGAACGUCGAUCGAUACUGCCGUUCUUGAGGAUUGCAGAGGAGACUGGAAUUCCCGGUGUAGCGGUGAAAUGUGUAGAGAUCGGGAGGAACACCGGUGGCGAAGGCGGGUCUCUGGGCAAUUCCUGACGCUGAGGCGCGAAAGCGUGGGGAGCAAACGGG
rnacentral:rRNA from 1 species